rnacentral:ncRNA from 2 species
UAACCAUCCGGAGCGGCUGAGAGACCUGGCUCGUCGACGUCGCAGCAACCGGCACGGAUCCGUCCGAUCCCCGUGCGAGGUGCUAAUGCCAGGACCGAUGGAGU